rnacentral:sRNA from 1 species
CCUGAAAUAGGUUCAAAAAAUGGCGUGACCUUCAC